AGGACGAACGCUGGCGGCGUGCUUAACACAUGCAAGUCGAGGGCACCUCGCAAGAGGUGACCGGCGAACGGGUGCGUAACACGUGAGCGACCUGCCUCGGUGCGGGGGAUAGCCGGCCCAACGGCCGGGUAAUACCGCAUGCGCUACUCGGGGGGCAUUCCUCGGGUAGGAAACUUCAGGGGCACUGAGAGGGGCUCGCGGCCUAUCAGCUAGUUGGCGGGUAACGCCCACAAGGCGGCGACGGGUAG
rnacentral:rRNA from 1 species